rnacentral:tRNA from 1 species
UCUCCCACCACUUAGCUCAGUCUGUAGAGCAUGAGACUCUUAAUCUCAGGGUUCAAGCCCCACAUUGGGUGAA